AAGGUCAUUAUAACAAGGUCAGAGUCGCUUCCAAAGUCAGCUCCACGAAAACUUCUUGUAUGAAUGCUUGACUAAAACGCUAGCGCAGAACCUACAGAUAAGAUUUGUGUUAGUGGAGCCAGGAGGUCCUACGCAGGACUUUUGUGGAGAUAUCUACCUUCUACAAGUUUCAUUACAGAUCUACUUGAGAAGACCAUAUACACUAUAAACGCUUACGUACAGUAGCUCAUACACAUAUGUGAUUCAAUGUAGUUAAGACUUUGUCCAAUUAAGCUUGUCGCAGUUAGUAAUGUUGUUGAGUAUUUUUGUAAAAAUGAACACAAUCAAAUAGGCGAUGACGUCAUUCGUUGUAUUAAUAUUUUAUGUAUUUUUUUUUCCUUGUCGCAUAGUCUUGUUGUGACGUAAUUUAUCAGCUCUUAUUUUGAGGGCAUUUUCGUCAUAUUGUAAUUGAUAGACAAGUUGUACUUUUUUGUGGUCCUGAAUGAUUCAUGUCUUUUUUACUACUGGCCAGCCUGUGCAAAUUGCCUUGGAUUUUAGCCUAUUAAUUCUUGUUAGGACUAUUUGACCCCUGUUUAGGCCCUGUUUUGAAUACAACUAGAUCAACAAGUUCUGAAACUCCAAUAAUACUACCUGCAAGUGCUGCUGAAAGAAAAAUAACCCUAACAGCCUUUAAAAUUACUACAUAGAUUCUAAUGCUGACAACAUCAAUUAGAUCUAGAUGCUGCCUGAAGAUUUCAUGUCUGUGGCAUUUUACCUCUCGAGAAAAGAUCUUUUCCCAUUGCAACUUCUGGUGUGGCUAGAGAGGCCAAUCCUUGAUACACAGCUGUAGUCACAGGUUGAGCACAUGAAAUCACCAGGCACCAUUGCAUUGUCACCUUUCUUCCUGCUGCUGUUGUGUAUGGCAUCUGCAAUCCGAGACCCUUCCUUUAUGCUCGUCUCUCCAUGUGGAUCUAUCCAGUGCCACCAUUUCCCAGCUGCUAGUGUCGAUUUUGAAGAUGCACACUAUGAUAAACUCAAUGCAGUUGACUACAAUAAUCUCCAUGUCCACAUUGUUUCAACAAGAACCUGUGUGCAUCACACAUUGUAAAGGUCAAAAUUGAAAAAAAAUAUUUUUAAGCUCUGUGCCAAAAAUGCUCCUAAUAUUCAAUGAUGAGCUCUGACCAGGAUAACAAUCACAGAUUGUGUCCUGAUGGCACUACAUCUGGGUAUCACUUCAAAAUAUCAUGGCACUAAAGCAGCCAUAACAAAAAGCACAAACAGACCAUUACAUAGGAAAGCAAAGUUACCAUGAUUUCCUAUCAUUAAAAUUGCUAAAAAUGGGAACUCCAAAUGCCAAUGAAUCAUUUCAUUUCCUCAUUUAGCAGAGAUGUUGCUUAUAUUUUAAGUAGAUAAAUGAAGCCAUUUUCUGAUGUGUAAAAAUAUUGAUUAAUGUAAGUACUAGAUCCACUGGUAUCUAAUAAAAAUUUUCAGUCCAAUUUUAUUUUAUUACCUUGUCCAGUGAAACAAAUGUUGGAAAUUAAAAUGGCCUGCAGGUUGAAUUAAGUUGAGCAUCACUUUUCUAGACUAACAUCAAUACAUCUGCUAUUAGAAAUUUUAACAAUUGUUUUUAUUUAGUGUAAUUUCAUGCUUUCUCAAGGUUAUGAUCCUAUCACUUGUCUGAACCAGUUAGAUAGGGGGUAUCUUAUGAAUGUUACCAUGGUUGCUUUUAAAAUGCUUUUAAUUAAAAAAAAUGUAUCAAGUACAAUUUCUUUCCCUAGUUUGAUACCACACAAAAUAUUUAAUUUCCAAAAGUUUACAAAAUUGAUUCUUGAUUUCAGGUACAAUAAAUAAUUGUGCAAAGUUUCAACUUGAUCCAAGAUAGGGUGUGCAACAAAUAAGUGUGCAAACUUUUUAUCACAGUGAGUUGAUAUAAGCUUUAACAAAAAUAAACCAAUUUAUGAAGUUAGAUGUUUUAUUUUAUCUUGAGAUGUCAGUAAUGAUUAAUCAUUUUGUAAUUGAUAGAAUUAUCUUUAAAAAUGGUGUUAACCUAAGUGGCUUGUAAUUGUUUAUUAAAAGUAACCAAUGGUUCCAAUGUAGCUAUUUGUAACUUUAAAGAGAAGUCUUUAAGAAAAAUAAGAACCAUACAUUUUAUUGACAAUCUUAUGUGUUGUGUGUGUCUUGGAAAAUAUUUUGUGUAAUUGCUUUUCUUUAUUAUGGAUGUAAAAUUUAAUAUGAUGAUGUCUGUUAAGCAUUAAUAGUUGAUAGUAUUCAAUUAAGCUUAAAAAUGUGACAAUGUGAACUAAUACAGUGAUGGUCAAUACUGUUGUUGUGUAUUCAAUAAUAGUUUAAUUGCUUUUAGUUAGUUACAAUGCUAUUAAUAUUAUAAGGCAUUUUUUUUUUAAAUUUUUGUUUUUAAUAUUAGAGAUAAUGGUAGGCCUUUGUUUGCUACAGUGUAGCAAAUAUACUGCACACUUAUAGUAUUCCUACUAGUAAAUUAUGUAAUUUGUUGAAUGCUAUUAAAGAGCUUCCAUAUAAAAUAUG